rnacentral:rRNA from 1 species
AUUGAACGCUGGCGGCAGGCCUAACACAUGCAAGUCGAACGAGUGGCGGACGGGUGAGUAAUGUCUGGGAAACUGCCUGAUGGAGGGGGAUAACUACUGGAAACGGUAGCUAAUACCGCAUACCAUCAGAUGUGCCCAGAUGGGGUUAGCUUGUUGGUGGGGUAACGGCUCACCAAGGCGACGAUCCCUAGCUGGUCUGAGAGGAUGACCGGCCACACUGGAACGGAGACGCGGUCCGGGCUCCUCCGGUAGGCAGAGGUGGGGACUAUUGUACAAUGGGCGAGAGCCUGAUCCAGCCAUGCCGCGUGUGUGAAGAAGGUCUUCGGAUUGUAAAGCACUUUAAGUUGGAGGGCGUUACCAGCAGAAUAAGCACCGGCUAACUUCGUACCAGCAGCCGCGGUAAUAC